rnacentral:lncRNA from 1 species
UUUGAUGGUGUAGACGAAGCUUGCUUUAUUGGUGCCCAAUAAGUUAUAUUGGUACUGAAUAGUGUAGUAGCUGAGAAACACUUGCGCAACAUCUCCAAAUGCAGUGCUUUGGUUUGUUAGGAACAUGAUUUGAUUAAACAAGAUUGGGUGGCGGAAGUAGUGCACUGUGCAUACAUAUAGAGAGCGUAAUUAUGCAGCUAAUGCUAUGCCGAAUUUUGAAGCAAAUCAUCCCCCCGGGGAGUCCAAG